rnacentral:rRNA from 1 species
GGUUAAGCGACUAAGCGUACACGGUGGAUGCCCUGGCAGUCAGAGGCGAUGAAGGACGUGCUAAUCUGCGAAAAGCGUCGGUAAGGUGAUAUGAACCGUUAUAACCGGCGAUGUCCGAAUGGGGAAACCCAGUGCAAUUCGUUGCACUAUCGUUAACUGAAUACAUAGGUUAACGAGGCGAACCGGGGGAACUGAAACAUCUAAGUACCCCGAGGAAAAGAAAUCAACCGAGAUUCCCCCAGUAGCGGCGAGCGAACGGGGAGCAGCCCAGAGUCUGAAUCAGCUUGUGUGUUAGUGGAACGGUCUGGAAAGUCCGACGGUACAGGGUGAUAGUCCCGUACACCAAAAUGCACAGGCUGUGAACUCGAAGAGUAGGGCGGGACACGUGGUAUCCUGUCUGAAUAUGGGGGGACCAUCCUCCAAGGCUAAAUACUCCUGACUGACCGAUAGUGAACCAGUACCGUGAGGGAAAGGCGAAAAGAACCCCGGCGAGGGGAGUGAAAAAGAACCUGAAACCGUGUACGUACAAGCAGUGGGAGCACCUUCGGGUGUGACUGCGUACCUUUUGUAUAAUGGGUCAGCGACUUAUAUUCUGUAGCAAGGUUAACCGUAUAGGGGAGCCGCAGGGAAACCGAGUCUUAACUGGGCGUUAAGUUGCAGGGUAUAGACCCGAAACCCGGUGAUCUAGCCAUGGGCAGGUUGAAGGUUGGGUAACACUAACUGGAGGACCGAACCGACUAAUGUUGAAAAAUUAGCGGAUGACUUGUGGCUGGGGGUGAAAGGCCAAUCAAACCGGGAGAUAGCUGGUUCUCCCCGAAAGCUAUUUAGGUAGCGCCUCGUGAACUCAUCUUCGGGGGUAGAGCACUGUUUCGGCUAGGGGGUCAUCCCGACUUACCAACCCGAUGCAAACUACGAAUACCGAAGAAUGUUAUCACGGGAGACACACGGCGGGUGCUAACGUCCGUCGUGAAGAGGGAAACAACCCAGACCGCCAGCUAAGGUCCCAAAGUCAUGGUUAAGUGGGAAACGAUGUGGGAAGGCACAGACAGCCAGGAUGUUGGCUUAGAAGCAGCCAUCAUUUAAAGAAAGCGUAAUAGCUCACUGGUCGAGUCGGCCUGCGCGGAAGAUGUAACGGGGCUAAACCAUGCACCGAAGCUGCGGCAGCGACACUAUGUGUUGUUGGGUAGGGGAGCGUUCUGUAAGCCUGCGAAGGUGUGCUGUGAGGCAUGCUGGAGGUAUCAGAAGUGCGAAUGCUGACAUAAGUAACGAUAAAGCGGGUGAAAAGCCCGCUCGCCGGAAGACCAAGGGUUCCUGUCCAACGUUAAUCGGGGCAGGGUGAGUCGACCCCUAAGGCGAGGCCGAAAGGCGUAGUCGAUGGGAAACAGGUUAAUAUUCCUGUACUUGGUGUUACUGCGAAGGGGGGACGGAGAAGGCUAUGUUAGCCGGGCGACGGUUGUCCCGGUUUAAGCAUGUAGGCUGGUUGUCCAGGCAAAUCCGGAUAAUCAAGGCUGAGGUGUGAUGACGAGGCACUACGGUGCUGAAGUAACAAAUGCCCUGCUUCCAGGAAAAGCCUCUAAGCAUCAGGUAACAUCAAAUCGUACCCCAAACCGACACAGGUGGUCAGGUAGAGAAUACCAAGGCGCUUGAGAGAACUCGGGUGAAGGAACUAGGCAAAAUGGUGCCGUAACUUCGGGAGAAGGCACGCUGGUGUGUAGGUGAAGCCCCUGCGGGUGGAGCUGAGACCAGUCGAAGAUACCAGCUGGCUGCAACUGUUUAUUAAAAACACAGCACUGUGCAAACACGAAAGUGGACGUAUACGGUGUGACGCCUGCCCGGUGCCGGAAGGUUAAUUGAUGGGGUUAUCCGUAAGGAGAAGCUCUUGAUCGAAGCCCCGGUAAACGGCGGCCGUAACUAUAACGGUCCUAAGGUAGCGAAAUUCCUUGUCGGGUAAGUUCCGACCUGCACGAAUGGCGUAAUGAUGGCCAGGCUGUCUCCACCCGAGACUCAGUGAAAUUGAACUCGCUGUGAAGAUGCAGUGUACCCGCGGCAAGACGGAAAGACCCCGUGAACCUUUACUAUAGCUUGACACUGAACAUUGAGCCUUGAUGUGUAGGAUAGGUGGGAGGCUUUGAAGCGUGGACGCCAGUCUGCGUGGAGCCAACCUUGAAAUACCACCCUUUAAUGUUUGAUGUUCUAACGUUGGCCCCUUACCGGGGUUGCGGACAGUGUCUGGUGGGUAGUUUGACUGGGGCGGUCUCCUCCCAAAGCGUAACGGAGGAGCACGAAGGUUAGCUAAUCCUGGUCGGACAUCAGGAGGUUAGUGCAAUGGCAUAAGCUAGCUUGACUGCGAGCGUGACGGCGCGAGCAGGUGCGAAAGCAGGUCAUAGUGAUCCGGUGGUUCUGAAUGGAAGGGCCAUCGCUCAACGGAUAAAAGGUACUCCGGGGAUAACAGGCUGAUACCGCCCAAGAGUUCAUAUCGACGGCGGUGUUUGGCACCUCGAUGUCGGCUCAUCACAUCCUGGGGCUGAAGUAGGUCCCAAGGGUAUGGCUGUUCGCCAUUUAAAGUGGUACGCGAGCUGGGUUUAGAACGUCGUGAGACAGUUCGGUCCCUAUCUGCCGUGGGCGCUGGAGAAUUGAGGGGGGCUGCUCCUAGUACGAGAGGACCGGAGUGGACGCAUCACUGGUGUUCGGGUUGUCAUGCCAAUGGCACUGCCCGGUAGCUAAAUGCGGAAGAGAUAAGUGCUGAAAGCAUCUAAGCACGAAACUUGCCCCGAGAUGAGUUCUCCCUGAGACUUUAAGUCUCCUGAAGGAACGUUGAAGACGACGACGUUGAUAGGCCGGGUGUGUAAGCGCAGCGAUGCGUUGAGCUAACCGGUACUAAUGAACCGUGAGGCUUAACCUU